GAUGAGCGCUGACAGAAUGCUUAACACAUGCAAGUCAACUUGAACUUCGGUUUGGGUGGCGGACGGGUGAGUAACGCGUAAAGAGCUUGCCUCACAGUUAGGGACAACAUUUGGAAACGAAUGCUAAUACCUGAUAUUAUGAUUUUAGGGCAUCCUAGAAUUAUGAAAGCUAUAUGCGCUGUGAGAGAGCUUUGCGUCCCAUUAGCUAGUUGGAGAGGUAACGGCUCACCAAGGCGAUGAUGGGUAGCCGGCCUGAGAGGGUGAACGGCCACAAGGGGACUGAGACACGGCCCUUACUCCUACGGGAGGCAGCAGUGGGGAAUAUUGGACAAUGGACCAAGAGUCUGAUCCAGCAAUUCUGUGUGCACGAUGAAGUUUUUCGGAAUGUAAAGUGCUUUCAGUUGGGAAGAAAAAAAUGACGAUACCAACAGAAGAAGUGACGGCUAAAUACGUG
rnacentral:rRNA from 1 species